UGAAUAUAUUUUAUUUCGAUCGCGUACACAUAGCACAACAGCCAAUGAGAGAAGAGCAGGGUGCUUUUUUGGCGGGACUAGAAAUAUGUUUAUAUUUAUUAACCAUAUUGUGGUAAGAAAAUGUCGAGAUAAUAAAAGUAUUAAUGUUAUUUUGAAAGUUAAUAUGUUUAUUUACUAACACUGCUAACAGAUGUCGCUUAGUUCGCGAAAUUUCAUUGGCUGAAAUUAACAGUAAGAAUUCAAUUGUGAACCGAUUUCGCAGUUCGCACAGGUCGUGUGCACAGGUCGUGUGCAUGGCUUGCUAUGCACUCGCUUAAUUUUUUUAAUUGUGAACCCAGCCUUAUGAAGACGAUUUACUUUAGACUUCGGCGGUGAAAUUCGUAUUAACCGUUUACUUAUACACGUUAAGGCUGGGUUCACAAUUAAAAAAAUUAAGCGAGUGCAUAGCAAGCCAUGCACACGACCUAUGCACACGACCUGUGCGAACUGCGAAAUCGGUUCACAAUUGAAUUCUUACUGUUAAUUUCAGCCAAUGAAAUUUCGUGAACUAUGCGACAUCUGUUAGCAGUGUUAGUAAAUAAACAUAUUAACUUUCAAAAUAACGAUAAAACUAUUAUUAUCUCGACAUUUUCUUGCCACAAUCUGGUUAAUAAAUAUAAACAUAAUUCUAGUCCCACCAAAAAACACCCUGCUCUUCUCUCAUUGGCUGUUGUGCCAUGCGUACGCGACUGAAAUAAAAUAUAUUCAUUUCACUCCUAUGUGCACGACCUCGCUCCCAUGCACACGACCAACUUUCUGCUAUUGUGAAUCGUUAGGUUACGAAACAUGGUGUUCAUAUCCUAUGCACACGACCUACUGUUACUGUUACUGUUAUUUUUUCAAUUGUGAACCCAGCUUAACAGCUACUUGAGGGAUCAAAACAACUUCGUAAUUCAUAUUAACCGUAUUUCGUAUUAAAAGUACUGAAUAACAUAGGAAAUCAUACUUAAUUUUCCGGGACUGUGAAAGUACUUCGCAUAAACGGGAAUUUCGUACUAAGCGGAUUCGUAUUAAUGAGGUUUGACUGUAUGUAUUUUGGAGAUCAUUUGAUCUCAAGCUCAUAAGGAAGGAUGGGAUUGUGGUGUAUAACGGUUGGCAGCAAGGGCGGACUAGAAAGGUGGUGUAUAACGGGCAAGAUGGUGGUUUUGUGAUGUGUUGACGAGUGUGUGAUUUCCUUUGGGAAUAGUAAUAAAGAACCUAACAGUUAGGAAUGUAAAUUAAUAUUUCUAUGUCUAGGUGUGUACAUCUACAUAAUUGUUUCCAGAAAAACGGAAUUAAAGUCUUUGACACUAUGAAGUGAACUGUAAUAUUGUUAAACCAUUUUCUAAAAUAACGUUAUUUCAUAACCUAACAUGUGCAUUUAACUUGUGCAGAAUUGUGAAAGUAGUAAUGAGUUUCAAGAUUGUUUAUAUACAGCUUUAUGUGUUCUCAUUCCACUGACAGCGUAUCAUACAGACAAUAUUUUUAAAGAUUCAUUCUGGAAGACGUGUGUAAUGUGGCGUGCAAUCAGUGGUGGUUCUAGAAAAGAUUCUCAGGAGGAGCUGUCCUGCACAGAAAGGUGCAGUUGCAAACAUGACAUUAAAUAAUUUCUGGAAUACUGGACUUCAGUACGUUCUUAAAAUGACUUGUGCAGAAUUUAAUUUUGUGAUGAAGAUAGAACCACUUUGCUAGCUGCAUGCUUUCAAUUCUUUGCAUUUGUUAUUGGGAAUAUAAUAAGCCAAUCCCACAUAUGAAAAUUAUGUGUAUAAUAAGUUUGAUAAAACUAACACUGGACCUACAAAUACAUACAAUUUUACCCUUUUAGUAAAAUUUCUCUGUUAAUAAGUUCACAUUUCUAAGUACCUUGACAAUUGUCUUAACAUGGAUUGAAACUGAUUGAUUUUUUAGGAUUUCAGAAACUGGGUGGGGUUUUUCCUCCUUAGGAACGCCCCGGCUGUCUUACCACUUUUGAUGAAUGGUUUAAAAAUGAAAUUUUAAGUAUUUUAGUAAACAUAAAUGUAACUUCCAAAAGAAAGUGAGUUCAGGAGGGGUUGUCGUCUUUCAAGUCCGCUCCUGCCUUGAGUGUAAUUCUUUGUGUGUAGUAACCUGUAACUCUGUACCCGAGGUAAAGACACCAUUUACAGAUGUAAAUUUUUCACUCUGUCUAUACCAUUAUAUCCUAAGUGCAAUUUUCAGAUACAAACACUAUUUCCAUGAUUUAAAAAAAAAAAAAAUUAAAAUUUAAGGUUUUUAUCUUAAAAACAUUAAUUUUUGUCUGAUAAAUAAGUUGAAGAGAGGCAUGGUUGUCAAGUGGUCAGACACUAGAUCUCUCGCCAAGCCGACCGGGAUUCCAUUCCCGGCGGAGUCUUGACCCGUAGUGUUUGCAAGUGGGAGGCUUGCUGUGGUCGUCGCUGCUCCGCACAUCUCGCCUCACGCAGUCUCCGUGCUGUCCCGCUCCGCACAUGUGGACCUGCCACGACCGGGAAGCUACGUGAAGAUACGUAAUGUGUUAAAAGUUCCAUACAGCAAUUCCUACUUCUAUCGCAGAAACCUGAAAAUAAAUGAAGUUUAAACAAAUGGAAAAGUGACGUGUGCCUUACCUCCGGGACUUCAGAACCUGGAGCCUGGGUCGGUGCAGUGAGUGGCACGUGUGUGUGUGGGCGCAGUACGUGGAGACGGUGAAGCGCCGGCCGGUGAAGCUGAGCGACGCGGCCGGCCGGCUGAUCCGAAACUACUUCGUGGCCAGUCGCAGGCUGCGGCCACACUGCCUGCCGGUCGGUGCCACCAACACCAUCACCCGGCUGUCGGAGGCGUGCGCGCGGCUGGACAUGCAGCGGGAGGUGAGCCGUGCCCACGUGCUCGCCGUGCUGUUCCUGUACGAGGAGGCCAUGACGCGCGUGUUCGGGCCCAGUCCGGCCGCCCCCCACCUGCCGGCCGGCGCCUACCUCCACCUGCCCCUCCCCGCACAGGUCAGCGGCCGACUGAAGGACUUCAGCGAGUGGGUGGACCGACACUUGUCGCUGCUGGGCGAGCUCGAAGAGUAACCACACAGGUAGGUCUCACAAACUAUUGUUUAGUUAUAAUAAAUUGUUUUCUUAAUGAAGUGAGGUUAUACCUUAUCACGUAUACAUGGUUUAUAAUUAUAACAACCAAAAUGUUGUUGAAAUUUAUAUUAAGUUUUGAGUUUGUCAAGAUUGUCCUUAUGUUUCACGCAAACUCAUGUUUUGUCUAGGAAAAAUUAUAAAUGUUAUUAGUAGCAGAAAUAUUUAAUAUUUUACUGUUUUAUUUAUACCUCGAUUUGCUCAUUGUUAUGUAUAGUAAUUCAAUAAUGCAGACUUAUGCAAAAUAGGUUUAAAAUUUUAAUCUAAUAAAUUAGAGAGAAUGCUGAUUCACACUAAAACAUUAAGAUAUGUCUUUAAUCAUCUAUAGCCAUACUUAGUAUUAUUAUUCUGUAAUACAACACUGCUUUAGCAAAAAAUACUGCAUGCAGGGUGGCCACCAAACCGGGAAAACGGGAAAAACCGGGAAUAUGUCGGGAAUUUGAAAGGGCCCGGGUAAAACCGGGAAACUGUCUGAAAUUUUAUUUCUUUCCUGGGCAAAUGCUGCGGUGUAAAUACGCACAACUUAUAUAAGACGUACAUCGCGGCGUCUGAUAAUCACGCGGCAAAUCUGUACAGUGUCAUGUUGGCAGCGACUGUAGUGUUCCCAGGCGUGUCAUGUUUCUUCUUUCCUCAUAGACGCAAUACGUCACUAAGAGGCGGAGGGGGAGGGGGAAUAUGAACCGCACUACGGCGUGCAACAUGGGGUGUUGUUCUAAUUUGUUCUGUUCAGUACAAGUCUUCGAGCGGUUUUAGUCUUACGCUGUGCAGUUUGUUAGGAAGCUAUUGCAGCAAUGUCUACUAGGUAUUCCUGUCGUUAUGAGUCUUGAGGUUCCAUGGGCUACUGAGGAUGCGAAAGACAGAACUUGUGCGAGAUGCAAGAUAUGCAAUAAAAGUUUCAAGAUCGAUACGAUGGGUAGGGGAAGCAUUUACAAGCCAUGCCAAAUCUAAGAAUUACAAUAGAGUUAUAAAUAACCAAUCAAGAAACCUGCAAGUUACAGAAUUUUGUUUCCACUCAACCUGCUCAGGAUGAAGCCCACGCUUCCUGUAACAAAGUUUUAUUAGUACUUUAAUUUAUACUAGUAGCUUCCAACGGUUUAGCGGUGUUAUAAACUACGACGUCUUGUAAUCCAUCGCUUAUCAAUAAACUGUCAAAUAUGUCCAGUAACUAACGACACUGCACGUUUUUUUAUGAAUAUUCGCAGCGUGUUGAGGCCGGCCGAUAAACCUUCCGCAUUAACUUACCUUUAACGUCGGUAAUGCUAUGUUCACUUAAAAUUUGUAAAAUAAUAAUACUAAACAUAUAAUUAUUAUGUACACCAGAACCCCGAUUUCACGAACACCGGAUUUAACAAAGCAGUGAUUUUACGAGUACAUUCUCGGGAACCGUAAAAAAAUUGGAAAAUUUGACCAAAAUGUGAAAAACAGAAAAAAAUAUUAAAAAAAAAAACGCAAUGAAAGAUCAUAUAUACCGAAUAAAAGCAUGUUGGACCUCCUGCGGUCACCAGCAAAGCAUAAACACGACCCAAUGCGUGGUGCAACUGCUACAUCGCUUUGUUAUUGCUCGCGCGAGAGGCGGGACGUGGAAUGUUAGAAGAAAGGAAGGGGGAAAUGCGGGGGAUGACAGACAGCAGCCAGUGUGUUUCCUGCGUGGGGAAUAAGUGGCGUAGCUCCUUUUUUAUGCUGUGUGAAGCGACCUUUUUCUAUCAACUCACGGGAAAAGAUAAUUGCUUGAGCUGUCAAAAUAAACAUCGCUGCGACAGUUAAAACAAGAUGCGGGCGAGCAUCCGGUAGGUCGAUGUGUGUAUCUACUCGAAAAACAUUUCUCAAUUCAUGACACUAAUAAGAUUCCUUAUAACUUACACGUAUAGCCUGAUGUUUUCAGCCUGAUCCAUGCAAGUUCUUUAGCCACGUUUUGAAUGAAAACAACCACCAGCCGGCCAGUGUUGUGCCCUGUUUAAUACGCACAAAAUAUACCAAAUAUAUUUGGUUCAAAAAAAAAAAAAAAAAAGAACCUCAGGGAACUUAGGGCAAAAAAAGUCAAAAUAAUGAGUGAUGCCUUAAAACAGAUCACUCUCAUAGACGAAGAAAUUUUUAAACACAAAAAAGGUUAAAGUUAUGUGGCAAAUAUAUAUUUAGUAAACUGCCACCUGUUUUUUUAGUUGGGUAUGUAUCACAUUUUGUGCAUUUUUGUUUUAUAUUUAGUACUAUACAGUUCCGUGUUUUAAAAUGUGUGCUUUGUAUCAUGUAUUACAUAAAUAAAAACAUGUCAUUUUGUAUAUAUAUUGCAAAACCUGGAAAAUCUUGAAAAUACCUGGAAAAACCUGGAAAAAACCUGGAAUUUGUUAUCACAAAUAUAGUGGCCACCCUGUGCAUGCCGAUUAAAUGAUUACAGUACUCACUUACCUUAGCAUGUUGUAUUGUCAAUAUGAAACAUUACCUAGCUAAUAUAACAGCUUAACUACUUAAGGGGCCUCCCUAGUAAAAUUUUUCAGCCUGCUGGGCUACUGGCCACGUGCUGCAGCUAGUAGAUAGGCAGAGCGAAAUACGUUAUCUUGCGAAGUGGUGGGGGAGACGGCCCGGGAGCGUUGGAGGGGAAGGUUCUAUUGUAAUUGUGUGUCGUCUGGAGUCCAGUUACAGCUCGUACCCGCGUUAUCUGCGAACAAGGCGGGUUACUCUGCAUAUCGCUACAUGCACCAACAGGAUCAAAUCAUCGUUUUUCCUUCCUCGCUUCACCACAUUGUUUGUUUACUUGAAAAAUUAAAUGAGUUCUGCGCUCCAGACUAUAUCCAUCAAUUCAAUUUCAAACAACUUUAAUUCCGGUUUAACGUUUUUUAAUUCACAUAGUACUACGUAAUUAGAGUUGACGAUGGUUUUGAAGACUAUGGACUAUGAAACGAAACACUAUAAAAUAAUUUCCAGAAGUCGCACCAUUUAACAGCUACAAUAGGUAGUAUUUCUUCUAAAUCUACCUAAAACAGCGAGAAAACAUGUUAACACAUUCAAAUAAAUUUUCAUAUUUAUUUAUAAGCAUGAAAAUAAAAUUUUAAAAAAAGUGAAUGAGUCUUAGUACUCACCAGUGAUGUGUUUACAUCUAACCUCAAUAAAGAGCUAAUUCACAUGUUCUCGUGUUGUUCACUCUGCAAAUUAAUAUGUAAUACGAAACACGGACACAAAAUUUAAAGUAGAAUUCUUUAAAUAAUGCAGCGCGUAAUAAACAUAUUGAUCAAUAACAUAUUAUUUUUCAAGUCAUGCACUUAAAAUAAAUCGACAAGGUAGCUCGGGUUUUCCAAUCACAAAUCAGAAAAAUAUCUCCCACGUUUUUAUUUUCGAAAUAACAUUUAGGCAAUGAAAGGUUUUCCAUGUACAGUCAUGCUUACAUUUACAAAAAUGUUCCAUAACGUGACGAAAAUCACUUCUUUCUAAUAGAUUGUAUUCUAACAGUAUAAUUAAAAACAUCGCAAAUUAAGCAUUAAUUUUUGUACACACAUAAAUAUAUUUUGAAAAUGCAAAAUAUCUUAUGAAAUAGCUAUAACUAAACUACAAACCAAUUUUUAACCUACUUCCUAAAGAAAACGUGCAAGUGAAACUCAUUUCCCAAUUCUGUAAAGGACAAUUUAACUUCGGGAAGAAAAUGGUGUUUGCACUGACACAUUGUGAGCUUUGUAUUGUAGGUCUCAGAUUGUAUUUAUUUACACAAUUUAAUUUACGGAUACGGCAUCUUACUAUUUUCUAAAAAGACUUGAAUUUUGGACAGUAUGAUUAAUAUUUGAACACAAAUGAUUUGGCAUCCCGUUCCGAGCCAUUUACACAGACUUUUUUUAGCUUUUGCAAAAGCGGAGAACAGGUGGAUUAGCACUUCAGGCUUAGGUAUUUAAUCACGUUAAAGUCCACGUGAGUUCACAAUGAUCCAAGGAGUUCGGGUGGUAUGUAAGUACUCAGUGUGCACUGACUGUUGCUCUCAAGGCGUUAGUGCAGUGUAUAGCUGAAAUUAAUUUUUAACCUACGUACAUAUUUGGUGCGGUAUUAGGGCUGCCAAAAAAGUUUCAAAAGAUGGCUGCUUGAUGUUUAAUGAGAGCAACUUUUGUCUGGGAAAAAAAUCUCCAGCGACAUCCCUAAAUACACAAAUGCUAUUGCUGGAUUUUCUAUACAAAUCAUUAAACAAUUUUGGUUUCUUCACUGUCUGGUCAUAUAUCAUACGGAAAGUAUGUUUGACGUAUUAAUUUACGGCAUUCAGCUCAGUGUAAAAGCGUUAGUCAAACAUCUUUUAAAAAAUUAGAAUUUUCUCUACAAUAGAGUAUAAGCAGGGUAGUAUACACUGGCUUAAUUUAACAUUCAGAUCUGGAUAAAGUUUCUUAUUUUUAUGCUCACAGAAGAUUAGACUUUAUUCUACAUUGGAGUGGCUAUUUUCCCUAAUUUUAGGAAUUUAUUCUGCUGCUUCACUCCCAUGGCUGAUAUUGUUUUCUGAAGUGGAUACCAAUUGAAAUUCUAAGAAUGAAUCUUUCACCACAUCUUUUGUUUUCACCGAACAAUGAUUCGUCUCUUUUCUUUUAUACUUCCUAGAAAAAAUUAAACUUCAGUUAGAAAUAAACAGUUUCUACACUGGUAUAAGAAUCGAAAACGUUCACAUAGCAAUAUGGCCUGGUUAAAAAAAAUUAAUACUAACCUAAUAUUGUCAGGUUGUUCGCCAGAGUGACAAUUUGAUUAAAUGUUUGGUCCAAAAUCAUCAUCAAUAUUUCCGCACGUAAAGAAAGCAGACAGCGUUGUCGGUUCAAGUUCUGUUAAUUGGUAUUGGCCAAUUCCUUGCAUCUGUUGUGCAUAAGAACUUUCCUCGUGUUUUCUCAAAUCACUACCAAAAUCAAAAUCACAUAUGUAUAAAAUUAAAUACACCUAUCCCUCACUUAGCACGAAUAAUUCGUUCCUAAAUAUGCUCGUGUUAUUCUAAAUCGCGUAUUCUGAAGCAUUAGUUUCCAUAAAUAGCAAGGCUAAUUUAUUUCAUGUGUUCCAAAAUUGUGUAGUAAAAUAUACUUUACGUAAUAUAAAUGCGUUGAAUAACACUCGACUAUAAAUUUGUCACACCAUUUAUUUUUAUAUGCCUACCAUUGCACUUUAUAUGACAAAUACGACACCGCGUAAAAACUUUGUACAUUUUACAUGGAAUGCCUUCAUACAUGGUAUGUACUUCAUUGUCAAUCGGCUGGCUGACUUGGGCGUGACCUUCAACUCACGUCACGUACCUUUCCAAACCACCCUGUACUGACAGUGAAACUGUCCGGAUAGUUUCAUUUUAAUUUUUUAAAAAUUAAAGUAUUCGCGUAUCACAACCUGGUUCACACUAAUACUUUCAGGCCAAUGAUUAUUUUUUUUUCAUUGCAACAUUCAUUUAACAACCUUUUCCACGUGAAUCAUCUGUUCAUUUCUGUUCUGGUAUCUAAUGUCAAAUAUAUUCCCGCUAGUACAACCAACAGCAUCAGACUUACAUAAACUUUUGGUAAGAGUCCUUAUUUCGUACGAUUGUGUGCACAGUUGACUUGCUUAAAACUAAAGUGCGACCAACAUAAGCAUGGCCUUCAUGACAAUCUUCGCGCCGUAAUACUUCUAGUUUUGUCUCAUUUACUUGAACACAAUGCAUUAUGAGUGAUCAAGCACGUACAGUUAUCGGCAGCUGAAUGGGCAGACGUUGCUUUUGUUUGAGUGAAUUCCCUGCCACUGGCUAGACUGAGUUCACGGCCCGGUUUGUGGCCAGGCGACAACGGUACGCGCGGACGUAAAACAUUUGGUCCUUUACACUCCAUAGCCGCAAUUUAACUUGCCAUGAUAGGCUAACUAACUGUAUCCGACAGCACAUCUGUUGUUUACAGAAGUUGAAACAGACUUCGUGUGCCCAACUAUUUUUUUUUUUUUUUUUUUUUUGCCUGUCGAGAUUUCGUGCUAACUGAAAUUUACAGACGUGCUAUUCAAGACUGGGCAGUAUAAUUCACAUCGCGCUAAAUGAAUCCGCGCAAUCUGAAGACGUGCAAAGUGAGGGAUAGGUGUAUAUAAAAUCAAUAAUGUUAUAAAUAAAUUUUAAAAACCAUGUUAUCCAACAAAUGCUAUUUCCACAUAGUGUUAAGGGUUUUUAUAAGAUAUUUAUUAGGCCUCUUCAAGCUCUCAUACUUAGUAUUUCCGCGAAACACAACCAUUAUUUUCCUAAAUAAAUUAACGAUUUCCUUACCAAAUGAGGACAAUAUCACCAUAAACUUUAAAUGUGAUACAUAAUUUAUCUGGUUCAUGCGGAUUUCGCAAGUUUUACACAAGUAACUAAUGAGAUUAUUUGUUUUACAUUACAAUUAUUCCCUGGCUGACUUGGUACGCCGACCUAAUAGUUGUGCCGCAGUAUUUAGGUUUUAAAUUUAACCUAAAAAGUAGCCAUCCAGCUCGAGUGUUUAAAUAUUCGUAUUUGAAAUAAAAAGUAGUAUUAAAAUAUAAUUAUAAAUCACUCAUUUCCAUGGCUGUAAUUGAUAGUUAGUGUACUACUUAUGUAGAUGCUGAUGUUGCAGCAACAACUUUCUCCAGUCUCUGCAAUUUUCUAUACGUAAGAAAUUAAUUUAAUUUUAAAAACAUCAAUUUCUACUUAGUUUCAUAUUUAGAUUUUUUUCAGGGGAUGGUUAACAAAUUAAUUAACAUAACUUACACACGAGUCUAAACCUGGUUAGUCUUGAGGUAGAAGUUACAAAUAUUACUGCACUGAGAGGGAAUCAAACUCGUAAUCAGAGCGAACAAGAAAAACUGCACCACUUGGCUACAGUGGUCAUGAAAAAAAAUGGACUUUUUUUCAUGAAAAAUUAUUUUAUACGUUUUGCUAAGUUUACAUUCUCACUAACAAAUACGAGUAAUUUUUAUUAUUUUUUUGCCUAUUUUUAUUAUACAUACACGAUUAAAGCAGUAGCUCUCUUUUUAUUGCGUGGUUCACUAAUCUUCAAGCGACGUCUUGUUUUCUCCUGUUCAAUUCGUUUUUCUUACAUUUGUUGUUCUUCAAUGUGUUGUUUGAACACUUUAAUUACUUUAUUGUUUAUUUCAUUAGAAAUUUUCUAUUGUUGUAAGCUUAAAGAUAUUUGCGUUUUAAAGAAACACAACGUUUUGGGGUCAAACAAAUGUAUUUAAAGAAUAUCGUCGGUCUAGUUAGCAAACCUCGUAAUUCCCUGCUGUGGAUAGGCACACUGAAAGCAGUAAGUGAGAUUCCUUUGUCACAAGGGUAUUGUUUACGUGGCCGUUAUCUUCCUCUCCACGCACACACACUACUGAUCUGCCUCUCCUUCGAGCCCGUGUUCCCCCACCACUCUCUAGACUGUGUCUCGGCUGGCUCCGUCGAGCUACAGCACGAGACGGGUGGAAAUAUACCAAAAUUUUCAUAAACGGAGGAUAAGAAAUCUCGGAAUUUAAGCAAUGACUAUAGGUAGGUUUUUAUUACACCAAUGUCUUCAGAAUAAAAUUAUCUUUUUGUCUAUAAGCUUACUUUCUUUUUUUCAUUCUCCUAAAGAGCACAAAAAUGACUCAAAGUUGGACAUUUUAUGAUUUUUUAUUUCAUAUUUAGAAACACAAAAAUAAUAAUUUAAACUCAUACCCACAAUUUUUGUAGUUUCUUCUCGUGGGUGAAAAAUUUUCAAAUUCGUGGUUUUGAUAAAUAGCGUGUAAUCAUCAUCCAAAAAGUAGUGUGUUCGCGAACCUUUAAUGCUACUAGGGAGAGCCCUUAACAUUGGAACAAUAGUUUUGACAGGCUUGCUUUGAGAGCGUGUGUAAACAAGGGCUGUGACUUCCUCCCCUGCCGCGGUGUCACACUGCUCCUAGACCCUACAGGGGUGUCCGGGGUGAGGGCGGACAGGGAGGCAAACUUGAUUUACUAAAGCAGUGGUAGUAUAUUCAAAGCAAAAUGAAAUGUAGCUACUUUUUUUUUGUGGCCUAAUUAAGUUGUUGCUCUAGUAAGAAAGUGAAUUUUAAGAUGUAGAACGAUUUUGUAAUUAUUUUUAUUUCAGUUUAUUUUUUAAUACUUUAAUACAAAAAUACAGUUUUAUUUAGAUGGCACUUGUAAAAAUAUUAUGUAGUAUUUUUUUAAAUUAAAAAAAAUUGCAUGACUAUA